rnacentral:rRNA from 1 species
GAUGAACGCUGGCGGCGUGCCUAAUACAUGCAAGUCGAGCGAACGGACGAGAAGCUUGCGUCUCUGAUGUUAGCGGCGGACGGGUGAGUAACACGUGUAUAACCUACCUAUAAGACGGGGAAAACUUCGGGAAACCGUAGCUAAUACCGGAGAAUCUUUUGAACCGCAUGGUUGAAAAGUAAAAUACGGUCUUGCUGGCACUUAUAGCUGGAUCCGCGCUGCAUUAGCUAGUUGGUAAGGUAACGGCUUACCAAGGCAACGAUGCAUAGCCGAACUGAGGGAGUGAUCGGCCACACUGGAACGGAGCCGCGGUCCUGACUCCUGCGAGAGGCAGCAGUAGGGUAUCUGCCGCAGUGGGCGAAAGCCUGGCGGAGCGACGCCGCGUGAGUGAUGGAAGUCUUCGGUGCGUAAAGCUCUGUUAUUAGGGGUGAACCUCUGUCUAAUUAGCUGUGCCCAUCUUGACGGUACCGAGUCAGAAAGCCCCGGCUAACUACGUG